ACUGUCUCCAUACUUUUGCCUUUUCCAGAGUGUCAUAUAGUUGGAAUCAUAUAGUAUGUAGCCUUUUUAGAUUGGAUUCCUUCGUUUAGGAGUAUGCCCUUAAGUUUCCUUCAUGGCUAUUCAUGGCUUGAUAGCCCAUUUCUUUCUAGCACUGGGUAAUAUUCCACCGUCUGAUGUACUGGUUUGUCUAUUCACCUACUGAAGGACAUCUUGGUUGCUUCCAAGUUUGGGCAAUCAUGAAUAAAACUGCUAUAAACAUCUACAUGCAGGUUUUUGUGUGGACAUAAGUUUUCAACUUCUUUGGGUAGUUACAAAUGAGUAUGGUUGCUGGAUCACAUGGUAAGAUAUGAAUAUUUUUAGUCUUGUAAGAAAUUCCUGAACUGUCUUCCAAAGUGGUUGUACCAUUUUACAUUCCUACCAGUGAUGAGUGGGGAUUUCAGUUGCUCCACGAGCUCCAAAUGCUCGUCAGCAUUUGGUGUUGUCAAUGCUCUGGAUUUCGGCAAUUCUAAUGGUAUGAUAUCUCAUUGUAGUUAAAACAAUACAUUUUUAAAAAGAACAUUUCUCUGUGUUACUCCCAGAGAUUCUUCAGGGAGUCUUUAGGGGUUUGUAAGAAUUAUCUAUUUUAAUAAGUUCCUGGGGAAGUUUGAUGAAAGCAAGGGGGGAUUACUUUGAGAAAUGGCAGGUUAAAUAAUGCAAACAAAAAAGGAAGUUAUCAAUCAGAGAUAGUUGUGUAGCUCAAAUCCGUUUAAAUCCAACCAUUGGAUUAGGAGGCAUGAGAAAACUAGCCUUUUGCUUAGAUUCAUCAUACUCAAUAUACUUCCAGGCAGGGCUACUAACAUAAUGUGGAUUUGCCUUAUGACAUGAAUAUGCACAUUUUUUCAGAUGAGGAAACUGAAUCCCAGAUGGUUUAAAUAAGCUUCUCAAGAAUGCAUUGAAAUGCCCUCUGACACCUACACCCAGGCUCCUUUCUCCACGUCAAAUUCAUCUCUUCACCAUUCUACUCCUAUAAUGCUAAUGGCCCGAGGAAAAGUUCUCAGAGUCGACUUUUUCCAUUUCUUCUCUCCCUUUUUUUUUUUUCCUCAACAAGAUUUCCCCCAUUAAUGGCUUGUUGGACUUGGCUGCUCCCUGGGGAAUACUUGUUUGUGUCUGGAGCUGUAGGUGAUGGCAACACCAGGGUGUGCUUGGAUUAACUCUUUGGAUGUACUGCCCAGACUCAUUUCAGGUCACCCUAAGAGGCUUUUUGGGUAAUACAGCAGUAUUUGGCCUCAGGCGCUUCCAAGUACAGGAAGGAAAUGGCAUGAACUUCAAAGUGAGCUCUGGUGCCAUGAGUACUGAUCAUUUAUUAGUGCUUUAAUAGUGGUAAAUUAAUCUCAGAUACACAUGGAGGCCAGAACAAGCUGGAGGUGUGGGAACAGUCUGCUUUCACCCUUGUUUUCUGGAAAUUUAGAACAUUUCCCAGUUCCAGUGCUCAGAAGUUAAGGGUCACUUUGGAGGUUAGGGUUAUUUUCAAAGCUUUAAACAGACCUGAGCCUGUUCUUGGGUCUUUUCCUGAUCAGGUUAGUGUUAUUUUAUUUACAUCCCAUAUGUUUUAUAAAUACUUCUUUCUUAUUCAUUUUCUCACUCUAUAAUUUUUUCAAAGCGACUCUAUUGAGACAUAAUUUACAUACAAUAAAUUCACAUUUUAAUGUGCAGUUGGAUGAGAUUUUACAAAUGUAAACAUUCAUGUAACUAUCACCCCAGUUAAGAUAUGAGAUAUUUUCACUGUCCCCAAAAUUCCCUCCUAUCCUUUUGCAAUGGAUCCCUGCCCGUCCAAGGCAUUCAUUGAUAAGAUUUCUGUCACCAUUACUUUUGCCUAUUCUUGAAGUUCGUAUAAAUAGAAUCAUACAGCAUGUCCUCUUAGGUCUACAUUCUUUAGCUCAGCAUAAUUUUUUUUGAGAUUCCCCCAUGUUUUUGCGUCUGUCAGGAGUUCAUUAUUAUUCUUUUCCCGUUUUUCAUAUAACUCAUUUCAUUGUAAGUUUACACAAUUUUUUCUUUCAAAUUUUUAUUUUGAAAUAAUUUAGACUUACAGAAAAAUGGCAAAAAUAUUAAAGAGUUCUUAUAAACCCUACAUCCAGCUUCUCCUUAUGGUGACAUCUAGGAAAUACAUGUAUUUCUACUAACCCAUGUAUAAACAUAUAUCUAUAUUUAUGUCUAUAUCUAUCUAUCUGUAUGUGCAUAAAUACAGGUAGAUAUACAGAUUCUAGGAUAAACACACACAUUAGAAUAAACAUGAGUUCACACUGAUGUGUGACUCUAAUCCAGCAGCACUACAGGAUUCAUUCUAACAUUUGCCGUUUGCUUCUUUUAACUUCUUUCUCUGUCGGUGAGAAACCUGGCUUUCAUUAUCAACAAUUUAUUUACUAAAUUGUUCAACCCUAGUACACAUUUGAAGUAGUUUCAGAAUGGUAAUCCACAUCCUGAAAAACAAAUUCUCCCACUAGAAUACAGUGUUUGUGGACUGUUUUUGUCUUUAACCUCACAGUAUAUAAUCAAAACACUUUUUUUUUUUUACAGGUGUUGAGAAAUGAUUCCUUUCAGCUCAAGACUCUAUUUACAAAGAGUUUUAGGCCAGCUCAUUUCUUCCCCAUCCCCUCCAGUUGAGUUAUGUCAUUCAUUUGUAAUAAAGUUAUAUUUACUUGUUACAGCCCGCAUUUCCUCUUGAUUUCUCCCCACCAUCCUGGUUGAGUGUUUAAAUUUUGCAUGUAGUAAAAUUCAUCUUUGUGGGAUAUAGACCUAUGAGGUUUUUAAAAUGCUUUGAGUCACGUAUCCAUCACCACAGUAACAUACAGAACAGUUUCAUCACCCUAAUAGUUCACUAUUUUUCAGUAGUUUGUUAACACAAUUUGUUAACCAUUCACUUAUUAAAGGACAUCUGGGUUGUUUCUAGUUUCUGACCAUUAUAUACGAAGCUUCUAGGAACACAUAUGUGCAGGUUUCUAUUGAACAUGUUUUCAUUUGUCUGGGAUAAAUGGGCGUGAGUGCAAUUACUGGGUUGUAUGGUUGUUACAUGUUUAAAUUUUAAGAGAAAUUUCCACGUUAUUUUCCAGAGUGGCUGUGCCAUGUUACCCUUCCACCAGCAAUAUACGAGUGAUUCAGUUUCUCCACAUCCAGCAUUUGGUAUUGACGCUACUUUUUAUAAGUUGUUCUGAUUUGAAUUGCUGUCUGGGGUCAUUUGCUUUUAGCCUGAAAAACUUCCUUUAAUACUUCUUGUAAGAGUCAGCUCCAAUUCGGUGUUGGAGGGGACUAUAUGAAGAUAUGACUCCUGAGAGCAUGGAUCUUUGAAGGGUGGGUGCCACACCACUUUUCUAAUAGAGGUGUCUAAUACUAUACCUUUCCCUUUAAGAUUGUUUUAGCUGUAUCCCACAAUUUUAAUAUGUUGUAUUUUUAUUAUUAUUGGGUAUAAGAUAUUUUCUAAUUUUCCUUAUAAUUUGUUCUUUGAUCAAUGAGUUAUGUAGAGACAGUUUGCCAGAUUUCCAAAUAUAUUGGGAUUUUCUAGGUGUUUAUUGUUAUUGGUUUGAGUUCAAUUGAAUGGUGAUAUGGUCAGAAAAUACACUCUGUAAGAUUUACAAUACUUUGAUA